CCUACGGGGGGCUGCAGUGGGGAAUAUUGCACAAUGGAGGAAACUCUGAUGCAGCGACGCCGCGUGGAGGAAGAAGGUUUUCGGAUCGUAAACUCCUGUUGUCGGGGACGAUAAUGACGGUACCCGACAAGAAAGUGACGGCUAACUACGUGCCAGCAGCCGCGGUAAAACGUAGGUCACAAGCGUUGUCCGGAAUUACUGGGUGUAAAGGGAGCGCAGGCGGGGAGAUAAGUUGGGAGUGAAAACUAUGGGCUCAACCCAUAAAUUGCUUUCAAAACUAUCUUUCUUGAGUAGUGCAGAGGUAGGCGGAAUUCCCGGUGUAGCGGUGGAAUGCGUAGAUAUCGGGAGGAACACCAGUGGCGAAGGCGGCCUACUGGGCACCAACUGACGCUGAGGCUCGAAAGUAUGGGUAGCAAACAGGAUUAGAUACCCGAGUAGUC
rnacentral:rRNA from 1 species